ensembl:lncRNA
GGAGAUACAACCUAUGGCAAAGUUGUCUGAUAUUCCUUUUUUCCUCGGCUCCGCUCCCUGUUGCUUGUCCCGACUGCGCGCAUCGCUUCAGCACUACUAGGCAUGGAUAUUGUGAAAUCCCUCUGCUCCACUAGUCACGGAACUGGGCCGUACCAGCCCAUAAACUGUUGACAGUGAAAGGCAGGAAACAACACCUGGACAUUAAUAGACUGAUAAAGGGUAGCUUUAACGGUGUAGAAUAUGACUGAACUGGGCUGAGAUCAAUAAAGCCAAGAGGGGACAUGCAAGUGGGCGUUACUUAAUUUAAAUACGUAACUAACAUCCAACAGGAUACAAGAAGGAGAAAAGGAUACUCUUCAUCGAAGUCAACUAUGCACCAUUUAAAUUAGACGAUUGAAAUCACUGAAGACAAUGUCAAGUGUUUCUGUAGGAGCAGGAAAUAUUUAUGAAGUACCACAUACACCUUGAAGAUGCAUUUUAUUUCUUUGCACUAUGGAGGAUGAUGGUACCUCAAAAAGGAUGCCUGUCUUUGUGUCUCUUUUUCUUGUUUUGCUAAUGUAUAGUGUCAUGAAAAAAUACUAUGGUUGCCCUAAGGAACUGACACAAUAUGCAGCAUUCAAACAGCAGAGUAAAAUCAAUUCAAGAAUACUGCAAUUCAAUUAAGUAUGCAGAUAAAAUAGACUUACAUGUUGUACCUAAGUAAUUCAGUAGAUAUUUAUGUUUCCUCCUCUUUCAUUGCUUAUAUACAUCAAUGGUUUAUGUAGCUGACUUUCUUUGUAAAGCCAUCAGAAAACUAAAUCAGUGUUUCUGCAUUCUGAAUUGAGCAAGAAAAACCUGCAUUUUUUUCUUCUUUUGUACUGUAAUGUAUCACAAAAUAAAAUAGAAACAGAAAACUU